UACGUAGGGUGCAAGCGUUGUCCGGAAUUAUUGGGCGUAAAGAGCUCGUAGGCGGUUUGUCGCGUCUGCUGUGAAAACUCAGGGCUUAACCCUGAGCCUGCAGUGGGUACGGGCAGACUAGAGUGUGGUAGGGGAGACUGGAAUUCCUGGUGUAGCGGUGGAAUGCGCAGAUAUCAGGAGGAACACCGAUGGCGAAGGCAGGUCUCUGGGCCACUACUGACGCUGAGAAGCGAAAGCAUGGGGAGCGAACAGG
rnacentral:rRNA from 1 species